rnacentral:rRNA from 1 species
GAUGAACGCUGGCGGCGUGCCUAAUACAUGCAAGUCGAGCGAACAGACGAGGAGCUUGCUCCUCUGACGUUAGCGGCGGACGGGUGAGUAACACGUGGAUAACCUACCUAUAAGACUGGGAUAACUUCGGGAAACCGGAGCUAAUACCGGAUAAUAUAUUGAACCGCAUGGUUCAAUAGUGAAAGACGGUUUUGCUGUCACUUAUAGAUGGAUCCGCGCGGCAUUAGCUAGUUGGUAAGGUAACGGCUUACCAAGGCAACGAUGCGUAGCCGACCUGGGAGGGUGAUCGGCCACACUGGAACUGAGACACGGUCCAGACUCCUACGGGAGGCAGCAGUAGGGAAUCUUCCGCAAUGGGUGAAAGCCUGACGGAGCAACGCCGCGUGAGUGAUGAAGGUCUUCGGAUCGUAAAACUCUGUUAUUAGGGAAGAACAAAUGUGUAAGUAACUAUGCACGUCUUGACGGUACCUAAUCAGAAAGCCACGGCUAACUACGUG